rnacentral:rRNA from 1 species
CCUACGGGUGGCUGCGGUGGGGAAUAUUGGACAAUGGGGGGAACCCUGAUCCAGCCAUGCCGCGUGUGUGAAGAAGGCCCUCGGGUUGUAAAGCACUUUCAGUGAGGAAGAACGCCUGGUGGUUAAUACCCAUCAGGAAAGACAUCACUCACAGAAGAAGCACCGGCUAACUCCGUGCCAGCAGCCGCGGUAAUACGGAGGGUGCGAGCGUUAAUCGGAAUUACUGGGCGUAAAGCGCGCGUAGGUGGCUUGAUAAGCCGGUUGUGAAAGCCCCGGGCUCAACCUGGGAACGGCAUCCGGAACUGUCAAGCUAGAGUGCAGGAGAGGAAGGUAGAAUUCCCGGUGUAGCGGUGAAAUGCGUAGAGAUCGGGAGGAAUACCAGUGGCGAAGGCGGCCUUCUGGACUGACACUGACACUGAGGUGCGAAAGCGUGGGUAGCAAACAGGAUUAGAUACCCUGGUAGUC